UACGUAGGGACCAAGCGUUGUUCGGAUUUACUGGGCGUAAAGGGCGCGUAGGCGGCGUGUUAAGUCAGCUGUGAAAUCUCCGAGCUUAACUUGGAACGGUCAGCUGAUACUGAUGUGCUAGAGUGCAGAAGGGGCAAUCGGAAUUCUUGGUGUAGCGGUGAAAUGCGUAGAUAUCAAGAGGAACACCUGAGGUGAAGACGGGUUGCUGGGCUGACACUGACGCUGAGGCGCGAAAGCUAGGGUAGCAAACGGG
rnacentral:rRNA from 1 species